rnacentral:lncRNA from 1 species
UUACCUCCUUGUUGUUGAUUGUUGUACCUGGGUUGUUGUUGCGGAUGAUAUUGCGGUUGAGGAACAAGUGUUGGAAUAGUGACUGCGGCCACUUGAUCUUGAUAAUAAUUAGGGCGUCCUUUACCCCUGCCUCUGCCGGCAUACACAACGCUUGCCUCGCCUUCUUUUCUUCGCUGACCGUUACCAGCAAACGGUCUCUUGGGACCUGAUGAGUUGGAAGCACUAUUGUCUUGAAUUCG